ensembl:lncRNA
CAAACUGGAACCGUGCUCGUAAAGGCUAGUCUCGUGUUCCAGUCAAACAAAACCAACGCUGAUGAGAUCAAAGGGCUGUUUAUGAACGCGACCGCUGCCGAUAAGGAAAUAAACGGCCUUAAAGUCAACCCUAAUUUCACACAAGGUAAGCAUUAAGCUUCAUUAUGUCCUGAGUAUUAAUAUAUUUAUAAAAAGCAUUAUUAUUUGUGGAGCUUCCAGUAAAGCAUUAGCCAGGAAUCUAUCACUCUGGUCUUAAAAUAUCACAUUAUGAAAACAUUUCUGAUUUUAGACAGUUAAGAUGAAGCACCUCAGGA